rnacentral:piRNA from 1 species
UCACACAUGAAGGCAUGUAGCUUGUGUC